rnacentral:rRNA from 1 species
GACGAACGCUGGCGGCGUGCUUAACACAUGCAAGUCGAACGGAAAGGCCCUGCCUUUGUGGGGUGCUCGAGUGGCGAACGGGUGAGUAACACGUGAGUAACCUGCCCUUGACUUUGGGAUAACUUCAGGAAACUGGGGCUAAUACCGGAUAGGAGCUCCUGCUGCAUGGUGGGGGUUGGAAAGUUUCGGCGGUUGGGGAUGGACUCGCGGCUUAUCAGCUUGUUGGUGGGGUAGUGGCUUACCAAGGCCUUGACGGGUAGCCGGCCUGAGAGGGUGACCGGCCACAUUGGGACUGAGAUGCGGCCCAGACUCCUACGGGAGGCAGCAGUGGGGAAUAUUGCACAAUGGGCGGAAGCCUGAUGCAGCAACGCCGCGUGCGGGAUGACGGCCUUCGGGUUGUAAACCGCUUUCGCCUGUGACGAAGCGUGAGUGACGGUAAUGGGUAAAGAAGCACCGGCUAACUACGUG